rnacentral:rRNA from 1 species
GAUGAACGCUGGCGGCGUGCCUAAUACAUGCAAGUCGAGCGAACAGAUAAGGAGCUUGCUCCUUUGACGUUAGCGGCGGACGGGUGAGUAACACGUGGGUAACCUACCUAUAAGACUGGGAUAACUUCGGGAAACCGGAGCUAAUACCGGAUAACAUUUGGAACCGCAUGGUUCUAAAGUGAAAGAUGGUUUUGCUAUCACUUAUAGAUGGACCCGCGCCGUAUUAGCUAGUUGGUAAGGUAACGGCUUACCAAGGCAACGAUACGUAGCCGACCUGAGAGGGUGAUCGGCCACACUGGAACUGGGACACGGUCCAGACUCCUACGGGAGGCAGCAGUAGGGAAUCUUCCGCAAUGGGCGAAAGCCUGACGGAGCAACGCCGCGUGAGUGAUGAAGGGUUUCGGCUCGUAAAACUCUGUUAUUAGGGAAGAACAAACGUGUAAGUAACUGUGCACGUCUUGACGGUACCUAAUCAGAAAGCCACGGCUAACUACGUG